AAAUCAACUCUGUAGAGAUGUGAAGUGCGUCUCAGCCGAGUUAACUUAAGUUAUCUUGUCAACGAUAUUUGAAUUUCGAAUUUUACCGGUCGCCAUUGCCAGAAGAACGGCUAUCAGUAGGCUACCAACGUCCAGAAGAGAGGACACCGGAUGGCUUAUGAAAGCAUUGUUUCGGACACAAGUAAAAGGAGAAGAAUGCUGCUCAGCUGGGUCGGUGAAGCUCUUGGAUAUCAUCAGCAUCUAUGAAGGCACCGGUAGGCACAGAGUCAUUCCGGUAGGCACGGAGUCGUUCCUCGAUGGACGUGAUGACCUG